GAAACACGGACCAAGGAGUCUAGCAUGUGCGCGAGUCAUUGGGAACAACUAAACCUAAAGGCGUAAUGAAAGUGAAGGUCCGCCUAGCGCGGACCGAGGGAAGAUGGGCGGUCACGUUUCCGUGCCGCCCCGCACUCCCGGGGCGUCUCAUUCUCAUUGCGAGAAGAGGCGCACCAAGAGCGUACACGCUGGGACCCGAAAGAUGGUGAACUAUGCCUGGUCAGGACGAAGUCAGGGGAAACCCUGAUGGAGGUCCGUAGCGAUUCUGACGUGCAAAUCGAUCGUCGGAACUGGGUAUAGGGGCGAAAGACUAAUCGAACCAUCUAGUAGCUGGUUCCCUCCGAAGUUUCCCUCAGGAUAGCUGGCGCUCGUCGCCUACGAGUCUCAUCCGGUAAAGCGAAUGAUUAGAGGCAUUGGGGUCGAAACGGCCUCAACCUAUUCUCAAACUUUAAAUGGGUGAGAUCUCCGGCUUGCUCGAACUUAUGAAGCCGCGAGACACGGAUCAGAGUGCCAAGUGGGCCAUUUUUGGUAAGCAGAACUGGCGCUGUGGGAUGAACCAAACGCCGAGUUAAAGCGCCUAAAUCGACGCUUAUGGGAUACCAUGAAAGGCGUUGGUAACUUAAGACAGCAGGACGGUGGCCAUGGAAGUCGGAAUCCG
rnacentral:rRNA from 1 species